UUGGCAAGGGCUCGUUUGGAAGAGCAGGUGACGUACAAGGUCGCGUCGAGGUCCAACGACCGGAAUAUCGGCUCCAUAGAGAACGUCGUCACAGAUCUUGCUUGCCUUGUCGUGAUAUCUUCUUUGCCAUGUGGGUUUGAUGGCCGCAGGAUAAUUAAAGCCAAGUCUAAAGGCUCAAAAGCAGUUGAUCAUUACCUGUCACAGUAUACAAAACACCUAUCUAAUAUUGGGGAAAAUUCAGCUGAUAUGUUCUUAUGUGAAUCAUCCACCCAAUUAGCUACAAUGCUUUCCAAGGCCAGUACCAUACCAACAUUGGAGCCGAAAGAGCAUGUGCCAAAUUGGACACAUACAUACGGUAUGAAAAUUUACGUAGAAGAGAAGGGCCCAUCACUCCAGAGUCUAGGAAAGUUGGGUAAAUGUAAUCUUUUUAUGGUACGU
rnacentral:rRNA from 1 species